UCUCCGUUGGUGAACCAGCGGAGGGAUCAUUACCGAGUUCUAACAAACUCCCAAACCCCUGUGAACAUACCUAUCGUUGCUUCGGCGGGACCGCCCCGGGCGCCUUUCGAGGUGCCCCGGAACCAGGCGCCCGCCGGGGACACCAAACUCUUGAUUGUUAUAGUGGCAUUCUCUGAGUAAAUUAUACAAAUAAAUCAAAACUUUCAACAACGGAUCUCUUGGCUCUG
rnacentral:misc_RNA from 1 species